UUCACUCAACCUCCGCUCGGACUCUUGGACAGAAGAGGCGUCUCACCCACUGCUGCCCUGACCGCGGAAGGGACGGGCGGAAGAUGGUUGACUUUUUAGCCCGGCACUCCGAGCCCUCGGCGGCGUCGCCAGCGUCUAAAGGGCCGCUGAGAAGCGACCAAACACCCGCCGCCUGGCGCCUGUGAAGAGCUUCUUCCCCACCUCACCGCAAAUAUUGACAGAAGUAUCAACGAGAAAACAUGGCAGAAACGGAGAAAGAAGGCAGACCUCCGGAACAUAAAAGAAGCCGAAAACCAGCACACCCGGUGAAGAGGGAGAUAAACGAGGAAAUGAAGAGUUUUGCAGAGAACACCAUGAAUGAGCUGCUGGGUUGGUAUGGCUAUGACAAAGUGGAGCUGAGAGAUUCCGACAACCUGGAGUUAGGCGAGACGCGGCAGCGCAUCUCUGUCCUUACAGAAAACUUGUUGCCAAAAAUUGCAGCUUCAAGAGAAAGCAGUGAAGCCUCUCCGGAUCGAGCCAACAGCUCCCACUAUUUACCAAACUCCAGGAAUGGAGUCACAGAGCACUCCAGCCUGCCAUUCACCUCCACGACCAGCACCAAGGAACAUGGCAACCACUUCAUCACUGUCCCUCCGCCACUGAUCAAGCCCCCUGCAGACGAAGAUGCAAACAAUGUUCAGAUCUUAUGCGCCUGGUGCCAGAAGGUCGGUGUCAAACGCUAUUCUCUGAGCAUGGGCAGUGAGAUGAAGAGUUUCUGCAGCGAGAAGUGCUUUGCUGCUUGCCGCAGAGCUUAUUUCAAGAGGAACAAGGCGAGAGACGACGAUGGCCUCGGUGGGAAAUUACUCCAGCACAGCUUUACUCAGGACACGCCCAGGCUUGUCUUCAAGACAAACAGCGAUGUGCUUGUGUGUGACUGGUGCAAGCAUAUCCGCCACACAAAGGAGUACCUGGACUUUGGGGCAGGUGAACGACGACUGCAGUUCUGCAGUGCCAAAUGCUUGAACCAAUAUAAGAUGGACAUCUUUUAUAAGGAGACCCAAGCAGCACUGCCAGUAUCUCUCUGUAACCCAGGACAUGGGGCUGAAUUGGAUGGUAAGGCAGAGUGCAGUGGAGGUGUACAGCUGCUUACUCCUGAAUCCUGGGGAACGCCUUUUAACGACCUUCGGCGGACAGCUCCAUCACCGGGAGGACCCAUCAACUCUUCAGUUCCUUGCACUUCAUCUAACAUGUCCUCGGAUGUCGUUUGCUCACCGUCCUCCUCCUCCUCAGCCAAGAUCUCCACAUCCCGACCCCAUGAGAGCCCAACGCUCCCCCAGCCGCCCAUACCUACUUUGCAUCCAGCUGUUGGGGUCCCCUCUGGAAGCCCCCCGAUGGUGAUGACCCCUCGGGGGCCAAUGCCUUUGCCUCUGUUUAUGGAACAUCAGAUGAUGCAGCAGAUCCGACCACCAUAUCUACGUCCAUCGGUCCACCCAGGCGGACCCAACAGUCCCCUGUCAAACCCCAUGAUCCCUGGUAUAGGUCCCCCACCUCCACCCCGGACUCUUGGUGCUGCAUCUAGCUCCAUGCAUAGACCCAUGAUGUCCCCGCAUUUGUACCCCUCAUCCAAUCCUAAUCAUGGCAUGAUCCCACCCCAUCCUGGUUUUCAAAUGCCAGGGCUUCCCCCUUUUCCACCUAUCAAUAUGAUGCCCAAUGGACCCAUCCCCCUGCCACCGAUGAUGAAUUAUGGCCUUCCAUCCCUCGCCCCAUUAGUACCGCCACCAACCCUAUUAGUCCCUUACCCUGUCAUUGUACCCCUUCCAGUCCCAAUUCCCAUUCCAAUUCCAAUCCCCUUCAAUCCCAAAUCAUUCCAGGAUCAGCCAGACAACAGCGCUACUGUCUUUUCAGAUGUUUCAGCAUCUAGGUCUCCUAAUCCCCCUGUAGGAGAGAGAGACACACAGAGGCAAGAUGCUAGCGAUGGAGAAUGCCUCUCUCCUGAAGGCUCGGAGAAAAACAGGUUAGCGGUGAUGAACAUGACUGUGAAGGUGGAGGACAAUAUGAGGAACGUGAGUCCAACCAAUGACAUUAAACUACUGGAAGGGGUUAUUGAUUUAACUGUGAGCCAGAAAUCAUGCCAACAGCAUGUCUUUCAGCGGAUGGCGCCUCAGGCUCAGAGCAAAAUAGAAGCAGAGGUUGAGCCAAGACCUUCACCACCUGUUGGGCUGGAAAAGGAAGUUAACGUCUGUCACAAUCUAUGGGAAGGGCCGGCAUUACAGAGACCCCUCAGUAAUACUGAGAUGUUUGGGACCACUCGCUCAGACACUCUGGAAACAUCUAAUUCAACUUCCAGCGACAGAAGCUUUUCUUUGAAUGUGAAUGGUCUUCAAAAUGACAUUACUACACAACUUGCUCCCAGCACACCAAGGAUUCAACUCCAAACAAGCCCUGCAUCCCCAUGUAAUGUUAUUGUCAAUGGCACAGAUUGGCAUUCACUUCAUACUUUUCACUCUGAGAGAACACGAGAUGGGGUUGCAGCGGAAGAAAAGGCAGUGGAGCACCCAGCAAAUGGUGAUCUGGAGCGAGAAGCCCUAAAAGAGAACAACUGUUGUGUGGGAGAAUGGGAAUCUGUGAAGCGGUGCUCAACGCAUGGCCAGAUGUUUGAGGCAGAGAGUAAAUCAGACCUUGACUCCAAUGUGGAGGAUGGCGAACAUGCCUACACCGUGCCUCUACUAUCUACAGGAGGUUGCGUGGUUAUCCAGCCUGUGCCAAAGCCCGGCACUGAGAAAACAGCCAUUUUGUCCUGUUCCAUUAGUACACCAUUAUCAGCAACCGGCAGCCCAGAGCUGGGGCCUUCACCGAAGAGGCGAUGUCUGCGAAUCCGCAAUCAAAACAAAUGAGAACACACGCCUGUGGUUUCAUCACAUGGAAUCCUAGGUCUAACUGAGAAGAAUUACCCAGGAUGUGAUAAAAUGGAUGCUCCAAGGACUGCUGUGCCAUCCACACCACAACCCACACUGCGUACAUGCACACAUCCUCGUCAUCAUCCAAUCUACCAGCAUCACAAAUCGCCUUUAACUUAUACAACAGCACUCUUGGAUGGAAGGACUUGAUACAGUGAUCACUGCUCGCUGGCCCCAUGUACAGUAACGUAUCCCAUCUGAAGCAGAUGCUCUCUCCAUUGUCUCUUAUAUUGAAUGCACUAUAAAACAAAGUUUGGAGGUUUGUUCAAGGAUGGUUCUUAUAUAUUCUAAAACACUGCUUUGUGGUCCAACACUUCUCUGCAGCAGUGACAAAAGUAUAAAAUAUUGCCCUCGCUUUUAGGUCCUUCUAAAAAAAAGUGCACUUGGAAACCUUAUAUGCAGUUUGAAUUCUGAUGUGUGGUAACCGCAAACAUGAAAAAAGAAGCCUUCUAAAUAUUUGUAAUAUUUCCUAUUAAUGCAGCAAAUCAUACACUGUGGAAUGGUGCAACCUUGGUCAGUGUAUGUUUCGGUCAUUGAAUUUUCAUUUCAAGAAUGGAAAUUGGAAACCAAAAACAAUUUGUUUAUCUGAAUUUCAUUUUGAAAUACAAAAAAUAAAAGUGGAAAAAUAAACAAUUUUGUGUUGAAAUGCAAUAACUAUUCAUUAAAAAAAAAAAACUAUUCGAUUUUUUUUUUAUACAGCGGUACCUUAAUUUACGAGCUUAACUUGUUCUGUGACGGAGCUCUUAACUCAAGACACUUGUAUCUCAAAUCAAUGUCUCCCAUUGAAAGGAAUUAAAAUAAAUUAAAUUAGAGCAUGACCCCCCCCCCAAAAAAAAUAUUUAAAAAAAAAUUAAAAAACAUCCAUCCAUUUUCUACCGCUUGUCCCGUUCGGGGUCGCGGGGGUUGCUGGAGCCUAUCUCAGCUGCAUAUGGGCGGAAGGCGGAUUACACCCUGGACAAGUCGCCACCUCAUCACAGGGCCAACACAGAUAGACAGACAACAUUCACACUCACAUUCACACGCUAGGGACCAUUUAGUGUUGCCAAUCAACCUAUCCCCUGCUGCAUGUCUUUGGAAAAACCCAUCACGAUUCCAAAAUGUAGCAUGGAUUUUAAAAAGAAAAACUAACUUUUAGAUUAGAAAUGUUUUAUAAAAUAAUACAAUUGAAUGUACUGCAAACAACUACAGUAGUUUUAUGAAAUAAUGUAAUAAUAAUAAUGGACAUAAUUUACCUUGAAGAGUGAACUCCUACGGUAUCUCCGACCAGCUGCUUUGUUGUCAAAACCACCAUCAGCAGCUUUUCCAUAUUUUUAUGGAUAAAUGAUUGCUGUUUAGAUGUUAUUUUAAUGUUCUUGUCUAGCAUUAGAUUCAUUCUCAUUCUAACUCAUUCAUGUUUUUGAUUAUUUCUUUUUUAAUUAAAUAAAAAGCUACAUGCAAAUGCUAGCGAGUAAGAUUAGAUGUUUUGGAUGGAUCUUACAAGGCUCACUUUGACAUUUGCUACGCCAACUAAUUGUUGGGAUGCUUGGAACUCAAAUUUUAACUUUCAUCUCAUACUCUUAUACUCACAAGAAUUAUCAGAGAGACUCUUAUCUCUUAUCAUAAAACACUCUUAAGUUGAGGUACCACUGUAUUUUAUACAAUAAAAUAAAACGACCAACCAAUCAUAUAACCAUUCACGGUUAUAUGAAGCCAAACACUGCCAGUAAAAUUUGGUAACAAAAAAAAAAAAGACAUUGUAGAAAAAGUUGUAUUGACACCAAAACAAGUUUCGGCAACAAAUUAAAAAAGACAGUAUCAUGGUGGAUAUCUUUUUUGUUUCAUGACAUGUUUCCGAUACCAAUAUUCAUAUGUUUGUGCACUUUUACAGUUUUAAAUUAAUGGCAGUGGUAUGGUGUGGGGCGGCAGGUGCCUGUGGGCGUGGCUUACAACCCGUAAGCAGUUUUACUAGACUUGGGCAUGCAGGUAAAAGACUGUAAAGAAAGACGGGAGGACUCAGGGCAUCAAAAUAUACUUUUUUAAAAGCUUCAUAAUAUGAAAUUAUGAGACAAUUUCUUUUUUAAACUUUUUUUUUUAGUAGGCUUAUGUGUGUUGCUGUCAUCAGAUUUAUAAACAUUUUAUCAACACAAAAUAUAGUGAACUUCUUUUAUUACUUUUUUACUUUUUACCUUAUUUGUAAAGCUC